rnacentral:rRNA from 1 species
AGAGUUUGAUCAUGGCUCAGAUUGAACGCUGGCGGCAUGCCUUACACAUGCAAGUCGAACGGCAGCACGGGAGCAAUCCUGGUGGCGAGUGGCGAACGGGUGAGUAAUAUAUCGGAACGUGCCCAGUCGUGGGGGAUAACGCAGCGAAAGCUGUGCUAAUACCGCAUACGAUCUAUGGAUGAAAGCGGGGGAUCGCAAGACCUCGCGCGAUUGGAGCGGCCGAUAUCGGAUUAGCUAGUUGGUGGGGUAAAAGCUCACCAAGGCGACGAUCUGUAGCUGGUCUGAGAGGACGACCAGCCACACUGGAACUGAGACACGGUCCAGACUCCUACGGGAGGCAGCAGUGGGGAAUUUUGGACAAUGGGCGCAAGCCUGAUCCAGCAAUGCCGCGUGCAGGAUGAAGGCCUUCGGGUUGUAAACUGCUUUUGUACGGAACGAAACGGCUCUUUCUAAUAAAGAGGGCUAAUGACGGUACCGUAAGAAUAAG